CCUACGGGAGGCAGCAGUGGGGAAUAUUGCACAAUGGGGGAAACCCUGAUGCAGCGACGCCGCGUGAGUGAAGAAGUAAUUCGUUAUGUAAAGCCCUAUCAGCAGGGAAGAAAAUGACGGUACCUGAGUAAGAAGCACCGGCUAACUACGUGCCAGCAGCCGCGGUAAUACGUAGGGGGCAAGCGUUAUCCGGAUUUACUGGGGGUAAAGGGAGCGUAGACGGCAGUGCAAGUCUGGAGUGAAAGGCGGGGGCUCAACCCCCGGACUGCUCUGGAAACUGUACGGCUGGAGUGCAGGAGAGGUAGGUGGAAUUCCUGGUGUAGCGGUGAAAUGCGUAGAUAUUAGGAGGAACACCAGUGGCGAAGGCGGCUUGCUGGACUGUAACUGACGUUGAGGCUCGAAAGCGUGGGGAGCAAACAGGAUUAGAUACCCGAGUAGUC
rnacentral:rRNA from 1 species